rnacentral:rRNA from 1 species
CCGGGCCUUGUACACACUGCCCGUCACACCAUGGGAGUGGGUUGCAAAAGAAGUAGGUAGCUUAACCUUCGGGAGGGCGCUUACCACUUUGUGAUUCAUGACUGGGGUGAAGUCGUAACAAGGUAACCGUAGGGGAACCUGUGGUUGGAUCACCUCCUUACCU